rnacentral:rRNA from 1 species
CCCGGCACGGGGAGGUAGUGACAAAAAAUAAACGAUACGGGACUCAUCCGAGGGCCCCGUAAUCGGAAUGAGUGCACUUUAAAUCCUUUCAUGAGGAUCUAUUGGAGGGCAAGUCUGGUGCCAGCAGCCGCGGUAAUUCCAGCUCCAAUAGCGUAUAUUAAAGCUGUUGCGGUUAAAAAGCUCGUAGUUGGUUCUGUGUUCCAUACUGUUGGUUCACCGCCUGUCGGUGUAACUAACAUGUCAUGGAACGUCUUGUCGGUGGUAAUUAAAGGCCUAUUAUUUAGAAGAAGGUUUGCUUUUUUCCUAAAUGUAGGUUAUUUUAAUUACCGAUUAGUUCCUACCGCGGUGCUCUUUACUGAGUGUCGAGGUCGGCCGAUAAGUUUACUUUGAACAAAUUAGAGUGCUUAAAGCAGGCUCAAGUCUGCCUUGAAUAGUGGUGCAUGGAAUAAUAGAAUAGGACCUUGGUUCUAUUUUGCUGGUUUUCUGAGUCCAAGGUAAUGAUCAAUAUGGACAGGCGGGGGCAUUCGUAUUGCGACGUUAGAGGUGAAAUUCUUGGAUCGUCGCAAGACGAACUAGAGCGAAAGCAUUUGCCAAGUAUGUCUUAAUUGAUCAAGAACGAAAGUUAGAGGUUCGAAGGCGAUCAGAUACCGCCCUAGUUCUAACCAUAAACGAUGCCAGCUAGCGAUCCGCCGAUGUUUUUUUCAUGACUCGACGGGCAGCUCCCGGGAAACCAAAGCUUUUGGGUUCCGGGGGAAGUAUGGUUGCAAAGCUGAAACUUAAAGGAAUUGACGGAAGGGCACCACCAGGAGUGGAGCUUGCGGUUUAAUUUGACUCAACACGGGAAACCUCACUAGGCCCAGAC